rnacentral:rRNA from 1 species
AGCGAACGGACGAGGAGCUUGCUUCUCUGAUGUUAGCGGCGGACGGGUGAGUAACACGUGGAUAACCUACCUAUAAGACUGGGAUAACUUCGGGAAACCGGAGCUAAUACCGGAUAAUAUUUUGAACCGCAUGGUUCAAAAGUGAAAGACGGUCUUGCUGUCACUUAUAGAUGGAUCCGCGCUGCAUUAGCUAGUUGGUAAGGUAACGGCUUACCAAGGCAACGAUGCAUAGCCGACCUGAGAGGGUGAUCGGCCACACUGGAACUGAGACACGGUCCAGACUCCUACGGGAGGCAGCAGUAGGGAAUCUUCCGCAAUGGGCGAAAGCCUGACGGAGCAACGCCGCGUGAGUGAUGAAGGUCUUCGGAUCGUAAAACUCUGUUAUUAGGGAAGAACAUAUGUGUAAGUAACUGUGCACAUCUUGACGGUACCUAAUCAGAAAGCCACGGCUAACUAC